UUAGGGCAAGUUUGGGAAGUAAUAGGGCAGCAAAGUUAUAAGGUAAAAAGGAGAUAAGAAUGUAUUAAAACAUAAGGCAUUGGUUCCGCAACCAUUGUUAACUAGCUCCUGAUGGUUCUUCCAGGUUUGUGGAAUGAAUGAAGGCCCUUAUGUGGGCGUGUUGUCUCCGCAGGUAGUUGAUUCUCAAUUUUGCUAGGUGCGCGUAUUCCCAUUCCACGGGAUUUGGAGGUAGUUUUGUUUAAGAAGUAAGAAGG
rnacentral:lncRNA from 1 species